UGGGGCAUAGCUCAGCAGUAGAGCACUUGACGGGCAUGCACAAGGUUCUGGGUUUGAUUCCCAGCACUCCAA
rnacentral:tRNA from 1 species